rnacentral:lncRNA from 1 species
CUAAAUACCGUAUCUCCUCCGGGAUCAUUAUCAUUUAGUGCACGUGCUUACACCUCCUGAUGAAGAUGUAAUGGUGGAACAUCACACGAAGCUACACCCAAAACACUUUCAUGGCGACCGAGAGAGAGAGAGAUUAAGUGCAUUGUGUGUUUGGUCAUGUGAUGGUAAUAAGUCAAAUGUCUCGCUUAAGGCCUGUCCCAGUGGGGAAAGCACAGAUGCAAAUAAUGAAAUUAAAGAUGCAUGAUUUCCAUUUAGCUGCUUUGAUUUCAGGUUCCUGGUAUCUGCAUGCUGCUCACUGUCACAACAGGAACAGAACCAUCACCUGUGCUUUCCCUCUUAUGCAAAGUCUGUUCUGAGAACGCCUCUUGUUCUCAUAUGAUCAUGUUUCUGUGCUAUGUUUGUCAUGGAUUGCAGAUUUCAGUGUAUGUUUCUAUUGUUGGUGGAUUACUUUUGUCACUAUUUGAAAGUUUGUUGGCUGUUGUGAGCUAAAAGAUAUUUUACUUUACGCUCAGAAAGACCUGAUCGAUGUCAGGUGGAGCAGGAUGAACGAGGAAGAAGGACACUCUGUGUUGCAGGGAGAGUUAGUAUUCUUUGGAGCCAUUGGUGUUUGUUUUUGGGCCAACCGGACAUUCUUCGGAUUGAUGGGGGGUUCGGAACAAUGGGCCUUAGGAACAAUGGCGUGGCGCCUCCCUACUCAACCUACUCGUUGUCUCAGUAGGCCGUUAUCAUCUAUUGUAAACCAAAUUUUGGCCGGAGCUGAUGAGCAACAAAUUGUAUUUGCUGGAGGGAACACCUUAACCAGCAGCUCCUCCUGAACCAGCAGCUCCUCCUGAACCAGCAGCUCCUCCUGUACCAGCAGCUCCUCCUGUACCAGCAGCUCCUCCUGAACCAGCAGCUCCUCUUGAACCAGCAGCUCCUCCUGAACCAGCAGCUCCUCCUGUACCAGCAGCUCCUCCUGUACCAGCAGCUCCUCCUGAACCAGCAGCUCCUCCUGAACCAGCAGCUCCUCCUGAACCAGCAGCUCCUCCUGUA